rnacentral:rRNA from 1 species
AUGAACGCUGGCGGCGUGCUUAACACAUGCAAGUCGAACGCGAAAGGGACUUCGGUCCUGAGUAAAGUGGCGCACGGGUGAGUAACGCGUAGAUAACCUGUCUUCAUGUCUGGAAUAAUACGCCGAAAGGGGUACUAAUACCGGAUAUUCUUGCUUUUCAUAAGUUAUGCAAGCAAAGGUGGCCUCUGCAUAUGCUACUGCAUGAAGAGGGGUCUGCGUACCAUUAGCUAGUAGGUGGGGUAAUGGCCUACCUAGGCGACGAUGGUUAGCGGGUCUGAGAGGAUGAUCCGCCACACUGGCACUGGAACACGGGCCAGACUCCUACGGGAGGCAGCAGUGAGGAAUAUUGCGCAAUGGGGGAAACCCUGACGCAGCGACGCCGCGUGAGUGAAGGAAGGCCUUCGGGUCGUAAAGCUCUGUCAAGAGGAAAGAAGUGUACAAUGGCUAAUACCUGUUGUAUUUGACGGUACCUCUAAAGGAAGCACCGGCUAACUCCGUGCCAGCAGCGGC